ensembl:lncRNA
UAUAAAUGCACCGGCUCUAUCUGCAAACAUACAGAGACAGCAAUUUCUUUCAGUUAGCAGUCGAUCAAGUGGCCCAACGUGAAAGUACUGAUAUGAAGCUCACGUUGCUUGUCCGGGAGACAGGGGGAAAGAGGCAACAGGUGAGCUUAAAUAUGGUGCAUGCAUAGCAGCAUGUAAUGUGGAAAACAAAAAUGAACACAAAAAUGCAAGAUUAACACAAAAUGAAAGUGUGCUUUUAAGAAAUAACUACAAAGAGCUUCAUAUAAAAGAGAGCAGUCUCUCUCAGGCUCCUUCAGUGUUCAUUUCGCUCUUGUGAAGGGAUGCUGGAGAACCUAGACCAGUUUGUCUGUUCACUUGUCUGUUCAUCUGGCAUUCAAUGAGAUAAAGAUUUAUGGUCCCAGUGACUGAAAAACAAUAGUCCCUAAAGUAAAACCAAAGGCACAUUUUGAAGGUUGUCAUGGUCCUGGGCCAUGUGGGCCCAGCAUUCUUAGUUUUCAUGUAUUUUUGUAUUUUGUUCUUUAUUUAGGCCAUGCUUCCUGGGUUGAUCUGUUACGUUGUUCCUUAUGUGUUUUCCCUUCGUGACUCUUACCCCCUGUGUGCCCCUCUGUGUAUUUAUGAGCCCUCGUCUCCCUUUGUGGUUGUUUCAUGUUUCCCCAGCCCGUUAUGUCUGUGUUUUUCCCCGUGCUCUCUCUCCUCCUGUCUGAACCUCUGUGCCUGUACAUGUCAUGUUCAGUUCACCCAGCCCUGUCUCGUUAUGAUUAUCAGUGUCACCUGUGUUCCCCGUGUGUGCCCACUUUCCUCGUUUACCCUCUGUGUAUUUCUGUCUGAGUCUCCCUCUGUUCGGUGUCGUGUUCUCCCUCAUGCUGUGUGUGAUUCCCCUGUGUUCCUUGGUGAGCUUUAUGUUAGUUUUUCCCAGUUUAGUUUUGUAUUGUUUCUCGUGGCCAGCAAUAAAGCUGUGUUUUUGAGUUCACCCCCGUGUCGUACUACGGUGUACAUUUUAGGACAUCGUCAGGUAUCAGACAAAAAAUUGUCAGGUGUCAGUUGUCAAAAAAAAAAGUUGUCAGGUAUCAGAAAAAAAAUUGUCAGGUGUCAGAAAAAAAAUUGUCAGGUGUCAGUUGUCAAAAAAAAAAAAAGUCAGGUAUCAGAAAAAAAAUUGUCAGGUGUCAGAAAAAAAGUUGUCAGGUGUCAGAAAAAAAGUUGUCAGGUGUCAGACAAAAAAUUGUCAGGUGUCAGUUGUCAAAAAAAAAAAAGUCAGGUAUCAGAAAAAAAAUUGUCAGGUGUCAGAAAAAAAGUUGUCAGGUGUCAGAAAAAAAGUUGUCAGGUGUCAGAAAAAAAAUUGUCAGGUGUCAGUUGUCCAAAAAAAAAAAAGUCAGGUGUCAGAAAAAAAAUUGUCAGGUGUCAGAAAAAAAGUUGUCAGGUGUCAGAAAAAAAGUUGUCAGGUGUCAGACAAAAAAUUGUCAGGUGUCAGUUGUCAAAAAAAAAAAAGUCAGGUAUCAGAAAAGAAAUUGUCAGGUGUCAGAAAAAAAGUUGUCAGGUGUCAGAAAAAAAGUUGUCAGGUGUCAGACAAAAAAGUUGUCAGGUGUCAGAAAAAAAAUUGUCAGGUAUCAGAACACAAGGUACCAGAGAGAAAAUCUUCCUGCAGGUGGCGCUGUUGUCAUGUCCCACCCGAAUUGAUUUCCAAAUACGUCAUCAACGUGUGACCGUGGGAGAGCGUAAGGUCAUUGACCUCACCGGAGUUUUACCGUGGUUCAGGCUCCUAACGACACAAGGUAAGUUUAACUUUUUCUCCCUUUUGUUCAUAUUUUUGCCACAGUUGUGUUAUAUUAAGUUGCAGUUAUGUUGUGAAAGUUACAUAUCAGAGACGGAAAGCCAGUUUUGUACGAAACCAAAUCAGUACUAUUUUUGUCUGGCUAAUUCAUUCUAGCUAGCGACAGUGGUGAAACGUGAUUCAAAUUUAAACUGUUCAGUAAUUGUUUUGUAUACAUUUCAGCAAAUGGACAAGCUGAAAGCUUACGAGCAGCCUGCAUCCUUUCUGUCGCUCUUUUUCUUUAUUUCUCUUUUCUAUAUUGCUACUGUCGGGAUAUUUUUUGAUCCCGAUUUUUUUUUCUGUUAUUGUUUUUAGACUUUGCUGCAAUAUGUCAUCUGACGAUGAUGAAAGGAGUAUCCGACUCUGGCUGGUUCCCAUGACUGUACCAAAAAUACUUUUUUUUUUAUUAAAAAAAGAGCAUUAAAAAUAAAUGACUAAAGUACAACUUAUUUAUUAACUACUGUUCACCUAUUUAAUAUCAAAGAAGUGUAUUUUUUGCUACACGUUUUAUUUGUGGGCACUGAAUUGACGAUGCUUUUAGUGUAAUUGCCACAUAAAAAGAUUUAGUACUUUACUGGUUAAUUACUUAUGUUCAGUGUAAGAGGUGGGUGAUCAAUUAGACUGUUGUUGUUACACUUAACCUUUCAAGAUAUGAUGAUAAUAACAUUGUUCAACAAAGGCUUAAAACAAAAGGAAAUCAGCUGUGCACUGAAUUCAUAUGGGCAUAAAAUAAGUGAGAGGCAUCUGAGACGAGUUUUAAAACUUCUAGGGUUGAAGCGAAGAUGCCCCCAACGACCUUUUACUGAAAUCCACAAAGCUGUGGAGAGUGAGAUGAAACAGUGGUCUCCUGAACAAGGAAUCAGGGCAAUGGUAAAGCGG